UAGAUGUCUGUUAUUGGACCGGUUCAUUCUUGAAUGCGGUUGAUUAAAUUUAAGAUGGAUUUAUCUAAUAGUUAGCAGAAACGACUUCGAUUUUCAUUCCGCUGAAAUAUGAGCAAAAACUAGGCAAGAAUGGAUUUGGUGCAAACCCAGAAAUUAAUCACAAAGUUGCCGGGAAUGUACUUGUCGUCAGAAAAACAAUUCUUGGUACAAAGCCCUUGUGGUUCGUUGAUGUGGUUUCGUGGAAAAAAGAGUUAAUUUGCAGAUAAUUAACACGAUAUUACCAGUAGCGCGAUUUGGACAAACUUUUGGCAGCGGAUGCAGAUUUGACGGGUGCGACAACGGCACGUGGAUGGAGGCCUUAAAUAAGAAGCUGUUGACCCGUUGCUUCCUGUCCAAUGAAGCAGAACGUCAGCUUACCUGGUUUGUCCAACACCAGCAUACCUUGUGCCCUGUUAAUACUGCUCCACAUGCGUCUCGGUAUCAUAGGCAAGGCUGGAAUUUCUCGACACGGACGUGCAUCCCCAGAACUAUAGUAGAGCUGCCCAUCCAGAGUGACUGGGCAAUAGGGCACUUUGGAUUUUCAGCACAUUCUGGUGGUAAAUACCUCCGUAGUGGUCCGGCUGCAGCUCCCGUUAAGGAAACGAAAUGAGUUUUUCGUAAAGCUAAAACUGGACAUGGGCCGCUCGAUUGAUAUCUUUCAGGAGGAGAAGUGGGUGAUCACGGACAGCAAUGGAGAAGACUGUUCCAGAUAUGACUGCAUAUCCAAGUCCAUAUCCGACUUGAAGGCUGGUUUACAGUUCUGAAAACUUGUCACGAGAUUUGAUUCCCCAAUGCAUUUUUAGAGGGGCGGGAUUUAUGGGAAUUGGGCACGGAAAAAUCGAAAUUUCCGCCCUUUUGAAAAUACAUGGGGAUCAAAUCCCGUGACACGUUUUCCGAACUGUAAACCAUCUAUUAAGGCUGUGAACCAUUCCACCGAUUCGUUUAACUUUUAGUUAAAAUUUGACAGUUCGAUGGUUAUUUCGCCGUGGUUAAAAAUAACCCUGCUCCGGAGCAUGGUUAGAUUUGACAGUUCGAUAGUUAAACUUUGUUCGCGAGAAAAUUGGCGCCAAAUCCAUUUCGUUCUAAAUAACUAUCAAUCUGUCAAAACUCAAAUGAGUCGGCUUCGGAGUAAAAUUUUAACCACGAUGGGAAAAUAACCAUCGGAAUGUCAAAUUUUAACUAAAAGUUAAACGAAUCGGUGGAAUGGUUCACAGCCUAAGGAGGCGUACUAUUUAGCGAAGUUUUUCGCGCCUGGAAGAAGGUUGAUUGGAAGUCUAAGAUUUGAUGAAGUAUCUCAUCUUAGAGGAACGCAUCUAUUGUGGUCGAUCGCGUUCAGAAAUGUAUUCGUGCAGUUGUUGCAUGGAGACUGGGUUAAUAACACGAUGCAGAUCGAGAUCCAAAGUUCCUCGAAAGAUUGGCAUGACUAAUGAAGCACACCGUAUACUAUGUGAGUGAUUUGUAUAGGAUCCCAAGUAACCAAAAGUUCCAUUAACCUUCUGUCUGUGCUCAAAAAAACUUACGUUGUCUGUGCUCUGGGGUCAAAUUGACCCCAAAUUGAAAUUGCUAUAACUUUUUUAAUGUUUGGCCAAUU